rnacentral:lncRNA from 1 species
UACAUAAUGUUUCUACCAAACCAAUUUGAAGUACUAAUAAUCAAAUAUGUAUAGAAGGAAUAGAACUUAGGAACAUGGUUAAAAGCCUCCUUUUAUUUUCUUUUUACACUCUCACCAUUAGAAUAAAAAAAUAAAAAAUGAAAAGAGAAAAAGGGGUAAGAAAGUCAUGAAGGGAGUGCUUAGUGGGUGGUUCAAAAUUGGGUAAACCAAAACUAAAACCAAUGGUGCGUUGUGACGAUACAAUGCCACACGUUUUCCCUUACCUCACUUGCCUCUGCCUGUGACCGUCUCUAAACCUCUAUUGCUUCUGUAUAGGGAUUGGAUUUGAUUUAAACGGUGGCUUUGCCGACCUUUCCAAACAUCUGAUGGCCGCCACCCACUCUUCUUUUUUCCUUUUAUUUUCUUUC